rnacentral:sRNA from 1 species
ACAGAAUCCGAUCUGGUAGGUUUGGGCGAGAGCGUGGCCACAUGCUCUACGUGAAGCUGGAACUCCGAUUCGUUCUCUGAGAGCAGCUCUUCGUUCUCCGACUCCUUUGAUCGAUCGCUUAGCGCACCUUGCUGAUUCCGUGCCUGGUGAUAGGGCGAUGUCGGGUUACUGGACUCCUCGUCCGAACUGUACGACACAGGUCUGUCGUAUUCUGAAAUGUUUAUUAGGGGAUGUCCAGAGGGGUUCCGAAGACUCGACAUGCUGACGGAACGUGCCGGAGGCACCUGAGAGCCUUCUGGUAUAGUAUUCUCCACCGAUACAAUACUUAAACACGCCAAGAAUAUGUCAAGCAGCUCUCAAGGGGUAUAAGAUUUCAGCAUGUUGCAAUGUCGCCGUCGACAAAUUUGCUUCAGAAUGAAAGUAACUGAAUGGAAUUGGAGAGAUCUUGAUGAUGAAUUGGUUCGAACGCAAUCUUAGAAGCAGUUAUUCAUUGGUGGCUACAUAUUAAUAACUGUCCCCUUAUCGGAGAAACCAUGUUCUGACUUUGAACAUUGAUAUAGAAGACAUCGCAUUCUGACUGUGCAUUCUUUAGAAGCCAAGAACGGAAAAAAAGCAAAUUUAAAAAAAAUGAUGAACAGUCGAUAUUCACUACAUCUGAGAACCUUACGGCUUGCAGGAAGAAUCAAAUGUCAGUGACUGAUUGACCGUGUGUUCACUGAUAUGUUAUAUUGUGGGCGAAGUGCUAAUGUUUUAAUUAUCACAUCAUUAAUAACUGAAACAAUUAAAGUGUAUGGCAUACAGCGCAGAUUAACACACGUGUGGCAGACUAUUGAAAAAAGUUAAAUAAGAAUAGGUUAUAAACAACACCUGCAACGAAAAAUAAAAUCUGUUCGAUUGAAACUUAAGAGUUUCCUCACGUUCUACCCUGAACAAAUUUGCCCAUGUGACGCAAAAGUUAACAUAUGUCUCGUGUCGGAUAGGGGGGGGGGGGGUGUUACCAUAAUUUAAUAUAAAAAAACAAUUAAAGCAAGCAAAAGAAUAAAGGCACAUUAAUAUCAAUAUUUGACUACUCUUACAGUACGAAUCUCAAAGAGACAACACUCAUUUACCCCUCCCCCAAGUACUUCAAAGUAUGCAUGCAAACGAUCUAAGAAAUACAAUUUUGCCCAUAUUUCUAUUUUGCAUUGUAUUUAUAGCUCAUAGGCGUUCGUCACUAAUCUGUUAACAUACACAUACAUGUAAAUCAAUUUGUUGAAUACAAUCAGAACAAAAUUAUGAAUUCGCGAGAAAAAGAACAUUUUUGUAGAUAUCCUUGCUUGCAGGAAAAUACACGUGUAAUGUGUAAAAUAACCUUAUAUAUAAAGACAAUAUGAUAUUCAGCAUAUGAUACUAUUAUAGGGUCGGUUUGACGUGUGAAAGCGGAGACUGUAGCAAACGGUUCAUUAUCUGAUAUGUUUAAGGCAGUGAUAUCUUUUACGAUGAUGUCCAUUGGAGGUAAAUCGGUCAUUCUCCUCUCUGACGCCAACCAUUCCGAGAAUUAUCCCAGUACAGACGCCAUGUCCGUUCGCUUUUUUGCGUCAUUUUGGAAUCAAACUUAUUAUGAGAACAUCGAAAAAUAGUCACUGCUUCGUCUGUGUACUCUAAAACAUAUAGGCUUGUUGUCAACCCACCCAUCCUCACACCUCUUACCCCUCCCCCCCCCCCCCCCCCCACCCCGGCUGGAGUUCCCUCUCUUCUUGGACGACCAUUAUACCUUUAAAUGCUGGUAUUGAUGCACAUACAAUUGCAAGGUUGGAAUAUAUUGAACCCAAUUUAAUUUAAUUACAUGUUUAUAUGUCAGCAAAUUAAAAAUUGUAUAU